ACAAAAAGACAAGUGCAGCUGCGGCGCGAUUUUGUUGCAAAACAUGAGCAUUGGACUGAAGAAGAUUGGGAUAUGGUAAUAUGGUCUGAUGAAACAAAAAUAAAUCGUUAUCAGUCUGAUGGGCGUUCCUGGUACUAUACACGAGACCCAAACACGAUUAAACCAAACCAUGUUUCCCAAACUGUAAAACAUGGUGGCGGUUCAAUCAUGGUUUGGGGGUGUAUCGCCAAAAACGGUAUAUGUAGGUCGUCUGGUACGCAUUAAUGGAAUCAUGCGUAGGGAGCAGUAUCUGACCAUUUUACAACAAAAUUUGGCGAUAGUCAUCGAAAAUUUGGGUCUUGCUGCUGAAAAAGCUAUCUUUCAGCAAGACAAUGACCCGAAGCACACGGCUCGCCUUGUACAAGAUUGGAUAAAACGUCAAAAAUUUUCGACCCUUACAUGGCCCCCUCAAUCACCGGAUAUGAAUCCAAUCGAAAAUUUGUGGAGUCAUGUCAAGGCGCAGCUGGCGAAGUACCCUAAUCCUCCUAAGGGGGUAAAUGAGUUGUGGGAGCGGACUCAAGAAGUUUGGAAUGCAAUACCCCCCGAUUUUGUAUCGAAAUAUACAAAAAGUAUGCCCAACCGGUUGAACGCUUUAAAAACAGCUAAGGGUUUUUGGACCAAAUAUUAACUUUUUGGUUAUUAUGUUUUACCAUUACAUCGAGUGCAAAACUGUAACAUUGAGCUUUUUUUACUUUAUUACUUUUAAACAUAUUGAAUUGUUAUUAAAUUACCAUGAUUAGUUACUUUAAUAAAGCUAAGGCUACAAUUAAUUGAAAACUAAAAUUAAA